GUCACUUUGGCCGAGUGGUUAAGGCGGCGGCCUGCUAAGCCGUUUCACUUUGUGAGCGCAGGUUCGAAUCCUGCAGGUGACG
rnacentral:tRNA from 1 species